rnacentral:lncRNA from 1 species
UCCGGACGUCGAGUAUUAUUGCUAGAUAGUUAUUCUGAUUGGUACAAAAAUUAGUUCUUGUGCUAUCGACUUAGGUUCGAACCUAUGGGAUCAUACACAUUAGAAGUUUCUCUCUGAUCAGAUGGCUAAUCUGAUGAGUCCCACUGGAUUGAAACUCUGGUGAAGAGUCCCACUGAUUGGGACUCUGCUGAAGAGUCUCACUAGAUGG